rnacentral:rRNA from 1 species
AGUGAACGCUGGCGGUAGGCCUAACACAUGCAAGUCGAACGGCAGCACAGUAAGAGCUUGCUCUUACGGGUGGCGAGUGGCGGACGGUUGAGGAAUACAUCGGAAUCUACUUUUUCGUGGGGGAUAACGUAGGGAAACUUACGCUAAUACCGCAUACGACCUACGGGUGAAAGCAGGGGAUCUUCGGACCUUGCGCGAUUCAAUGAGCCGAUGUCGGAUUAGCUAGUUGGUGGGGUAAAGGCCCACCAAGGCGACGAUCCGUAGCUGGUCUGAGAGGAUGAUCAGCCACACUGGAACUGAGACACGGUCCAGACUCCUACGGGAGGCAGCAGUGGGGAAUAUUGGACAAUGGGCGCAAGCCUGAUCCAGCCAUACCGCGUGGGUGAAGAAGGCCUUCGGAUUGUAAAGCCCUUUUGUUGGGAAAGAAAAGCAGCAGGUUAAUACCCCGCUGUUCUGACGGUACCAAAAGAAUAAGCACCGGCUAACUUCGUG